UCCAUAAGAUUCAUUUGUCUGAUAUAAUAUUGUAACAUGUAGACUAACUGAUGUAGGAGAAUCAACGAAUCAAUAUUUUUCUAUGCUUGCUUUGUUCCUACUUCACUUGAUCUUUCUUCCUCUUAACAUAAACAACAUUUCAGUACUCUAUGAAAUAUUGUCGUCCUUACCUCCAAUUUUUAUCAGCAGAGAAUAUGCCCAGUCCUCUCCUCCUGUUCGUGUGUCGUAAGUACCAUUCGAGAACAACAAAUGUCAUGCUCGUUGUGUCAGUCAAGCAGAUAUUGGCUUGAAGUGGUGGGAUCCAUCCAUCCAUCCAAUCCUCGACGAUUUACUCCAAUCAACCACCAAUGCCUGUGUGACAACACAUCAUCAAAAACAACUGAGAACGGUACUCCUGUUUCAUUCCACCACUUUGAUACUUUAUAAGUUGGGGGUGGUCGAAUGAUCUACCCGAGGCUGUGCCACUUGAUUUGCCACGAAGUUGCAUGAGCUCUGCAGGAUGAUGAUGUAUUCCCGUCAUUUUUGGCUGAACCAAAAUCUCAG
rnacentral:lncRNA from 1 species